CCUACGGGUGGCAGCAGUGAGGAAUAUUGGUCAAUGGCCGCAACGCUGAACCAGCCAAGUCGCGUGAAGGAAGACGGCCCUACGGGUUGUAAACUUCUUUUGUCCGGGAGUAAACUGCAUGUCGGGACCUUCUUUGCGAGUACCUCAUGAAUAAGCACCGGCUAAUUCCGUGCCAGCAGCCGCGGUAAUACGGAGGGUCCGGGCGUUAUCCGGAUUUAUUGGGUUUAAAGGGAGCGUAGAUGGGGUGUUAAGCUAGUUGUGAAAUGUUGCGGCUCAACCGUACAAUUGCAAUGGAUACUGGGAGCCUUGAGUACAGUUGAGGUAGGCGGAAUUCGUGGUGUAGCGGUGAAAUGCUUAGAUAUCACGAAGAACUCCGAUUGCGAAGGCAGCCUACUGAAGUGCCACUGACACUGAUGCUCGAAGGUGUGGGUAUCAAACAGGAUUAGAUACCCGAGUAGUC
rnacentral:rRNA from 1 species